UCUAAUUGAAAGACGGCCCUGCUAUCCACUUAGCCACAGUCGCCCCAGUCGCCCACAGCAUCACAGCAUUGAACAGCAUUGAGGCUCACUGAUGUGUUUUUAAUGGAGCUCAUGUGUGAUGCACACGGCACUAAUUCACUGCUGGUUUCGGUGUAUAUUCACUAAACUAAAUUACAGUUGAUCAGAUCUUCAUGAAUCCAUGCCCACAAAGUCAACAUGAGACACUUUUGGGGCCUCGAGUUGAAAAUCCAACCAGGAAAUUUACUGAUUCAAUUCUCUGAUUAGAAGACUAUUUUUACUGCAGUUUUUAUGAUUUUUUGUAGUUUUUUAACAGAAGUUGUUUGGUUGUUUUGUCUCGUGCUCUUCUUUCAUGUGUUUUUAUUGUGAUGUUUGUUUUUUUCCGCUCAAUCCGAGACGACCUCGUCCUCUGAGAGACACUAAAGUAACUUUAACCUUCCAGGACAAGAACACAGACUGAGUCACGAGAGAAGAAAAGGUUCAACUGUAUCUGUUUAGAGGGAAAGUGUUGCAAUGCAGAGUAAGACAGAGUGCAAAUAAAGUCUGCAGCGAGGAGCUGAUGAUGAAUCACUGACGGUCAGUUACAGAUCAGACUCAUCAACCAGCUGACCGAUCAAAGGCUUCUGAGAGACUAGAUAAGACUUCCUGUCCCGCCUCCAACCAUGAGUGACAUUUACGAGUCGGCGGCCAACUCUCUGGGUCUGUUCAGCAGUCCCUGUCUGACCAAAGUGGAGCUGAGGGUCACCUGCAAAGGGAUCUCAGACCGGGACGCUCUGUCCAAACCAGACCCCUGCUUCGUCCUCAAGAUGAAGUCCCACGGACAGUGGAUGGAGGUAUGCCGCCACAACAACCAC